AACGUUGGCGGCGUGCUUAAUACAUGCAAAUCAACUGAAGCACCGGUAGUAAUACUGGUGUGGAGGUGGCGCACGGGUGAGUAACACGUAGGUAAUCUGCCUUCAGGUCUGACAUAACCCCGAGAAAUCGGGGCUAAUAGCAGAUGAUGCAGCGGCUUGACAUCAAGACAGUUGUUAAAGCUUCGGCGCCUGAAGAUGAGCCUGCGUCUGAUUAGCUAGUUGGCGGAGUAAUGGCCCACCAAGGCUACGAUCAGUAACUGGUCUGAGAGGAUGAUCAGUCACACUGGAACUGAGACACGGUCCAGACUCCUACGGGAGGCAGCAGUAAGGAAUAUUGCUCAAUGGGAGAAAUCCUGAAGCAGCAACGCCGCGUGAGGGAUGAAAGGCUUUUGCUCGUAAACCUCUGUAGUGAGGGAAAAAUUUCCACUCUGUGGAAUAUGAUGGUACCUCAAAAGUAAGCCCCGGCUAACUACGUG
rnacentral:rRNA from 1 species